GAUGAACGCUGGCGGCGUGCCUAAUACAUGCAAGUCGAGCGAACGGACGAGAAGCUUGCUUCUCUGAUGUUAGCGGCGGACGGGUGAGUAACACGUGGAUAACCUACCUAUAAGACUGGGAUAACUUCGGGAAACCGGAGCUAAUACCGGAUAAUAUUUUGAACCGCAUGGUUCAAAAGUGAAAGACGGUCUUGCUGUCACUUAUAGAUGGAUCCGCGCUGCAUUAGCUAGUUGGUAAGGUAACGGCUUACCAAGGCAACGAUGCAUAGCCGACCUGAGAGGGUGAUCGGCCACACUGGAACUGAGACACGGUCCAGACUCCUACGGGAGGCAGCAGUAGGGAAUCUUCCGCAAGGGGCGAAAGCCUGACGGAGCAACGCCGCGUGAGUGAUGAAGGUCUACGGAUCGUAAAACUCUGUUAUUAGGGAAGAACAUAUGUGUAAGUAACUGUGCACAUCUGGACGGUACCUAAUCAGAAAGCCACGGCUAACUACGG
rnacentral:rRNA from 1 species